UACGUAGGUGGCAAGCGUUGUCCGGAUUUAUUGGGCGUAAAGCGAGCGCGGGCGAUUCCUUAAGUCUGAUGUGAAAGCCCACGGCUCAACCGUGGAAGGUCAUUGGAAACUGGGGAACUUGAGUGCAGAAGAGGAGAGUGGAAUUCCAUGUGUAGCGGUGAAAUGCGUAGAUAUAUGGAGGAACACCAGCGGCGAAGGCGACUCUCUGGACUGUAACUGACACUGAGGCACGAAAGCGUGGGGAGCAAACAGGAUUAGA
rnacentral:rRNA from 1 species